rnacentral:rRNA from 1 species
AUUUGAAAUCUGGCCCUUGCAGGGUCCGAGUUGUAAUUUGUAGAGGAUGCUUCGGGCUCAGCUCCGGUCUAAGUUCCUUGGAACAGGACGUCACAGAGGGUGAGAAUCCCGUAUGUGACCGGCCGCUGUGCUCAUGUGAAGCUCCUUCGACGAGUCGAGUUGUUUGGGAAUGCAGCUCAAAAUGGGUGGUAAAUUUCAUCUAAAGCUAAAUACUGGCCAGAGACCGAUAGCGCACAAGUAGAGUGAUCGAAAGAUGAAAAGCACUUUGGAAAGAGAGUUAAAAAGUACGUGAAAUUGUUGAAAGGGAAGCGCUUGCAACCAGACUUGCCCGCGGGUGAUCAACUGAUAUUCUUAUCGGUGCACUCGCCCGUGGUCAGGCCAGCAUCGGUUUGGGCGGCUGGACAAAGGCCCCCGGAAUGUAGCUCCCCUCGGGGAGUGUUAUAGCCGGAGGUGCAAUGCAGCCAGCCUGGACCGAGGACCGCGCUUCGGCUAGGAUGCUGGCGUAAUGGUUGUAAGCGACCCGUCUUGAAACACGGACCAAGGAGUCUAACAUCUAUGCGAGUGUUUGGGUGUCAAACCCAUGCGCGUAAUGAAAGUGAACGGAGGUGGGAACCCCUAAGGGUGCACCAUCGACCGAUCCUGAUGUCUUCGGAUGGAUUUGAGUAAGAGCAUAGCUGUUGGGACCCGAAAGAUGGUGAACUAUGCCUGAAUAGGGUGAAGCCAGAGGAAACUCUGGUGGAGGCUCGCAGCGGUUCUGACGUGCAAAUCGAUCGUCAAAUUUAGGUAUAGGGGCGAA